rnacentral:lncRNA from 1 species
AUGGCGUCCGACUGCGCCGUUCCUUCCUCCUCCUCCUCUUCUUCCUCCUCCUUCAGCGCUGAGGAGCCAGAGUCGCCGCCGGGUUGCCAGACGUUGGAAUGGGUGGUCUCCCGACUGACACCAGCAUCUUUCUUGCACUCGGGAGGCUCGGGGCUCGGCGGCUCCCAGAGGCUGCAGCUGCGGCUCAGGCGAGGCGGGAAAUCCUCCCCUUCAGGAGAAUGGGCUGUUGGCUCAGGCUACCUGAAUUUGAAACCUUGCUCCAUCAUCUUAUGGCUUAUUUCACAUCGGAGGCUCCCAUUCAGCAUCUGUCAUCAGGUGAGUAUUUUAUGGCACCUUCCACUGCAUGGCCAGUUGUCAUACAGUAUGACUUGUGGCUGCCAAAUCCGAGGGUUUUCACCUGUUGAUCAUGUAACUAAGUGAAACUGUUUAGAGUGAUGUAUUGUUCAGUUUGUGUUAAAACCUGCCAAAUUGUUGUAUUUUGGGAAUAAAGUGUUUGCUAAGAUGAGCCAUUU